rnacentral:rRNA from 1 species
GAUGAACGCUGGCGGCGUGCCUAAUACAUGCAAGUCGAACGCUGAAGGAGGAGCUUGCUCUUCUGGAUGAGUUGCGAACGGGUGAGUAACGCGUAGGUAACCUGCCUGGUAGCGGGGGAUAACUAUUGGAAACGAUAGCUAAUACCGCAUGACAACAGUUAUUGCAUGAUAACUGUUUAAAAGGGGCAACUGCUCCACUACCAGAUGGACCUGCGUUGUAUUAGCUAGUUGGUGAGGUAACGGCUCACCAAGGCGACGAUACAUAGCCGACCUGAGAGGGUGAUCGGCCACACUGGGACUGAGACACGGCCCAGACUCCUACGGGAGGCAGCAGUAGGGAAUCUUCGGCAAUGGACGGAAGUCUGACCGAGCAACGCCGCGUGAGUGAAGAAGGUUUUCGGAUCGUAAAGCUCUGUUGCAAGAGAAGAACGAGUGUGAGAGUGGAAAGUUCACACUGUGACGGUAUCUUACCAGAAAGGGACGGCUAACUACGUG